CCUACGGGAGGCAGCAGUGAGGAAUAUUGGUCAAUGGGCGCGAGCCUGAACCAGCCAAGUAGCGUGAAGGAUGACUGCCCUACGGGUUGUAAACUUCUUUUAUAAGGGAAUAAAGUGAUGCACGUGUGCCUUUUUGUAUGUACUUUAUGAAUAAGGAUCGGCUAACUCCGUGCCAGCAGCCGCGGUAAUACGGAGGAUCCGAGCGUUAUCCGGAUUUAUUGGGUUUAAAGGGAGCGUAGAUGGGUUGUUAAGUCAGUUGUGAAAGUUUGCGGCUCAACCGUAAAAUUGCAAUUGAUACUGGCAGUCUUGAGUACAGUAGAGGUAGGCGGAAUUCGUGGUGUAGCGGUGAAAUGCUUAGAUAUCACGAAGAACUCCGAUUGCGAAGGCAGCCUACUAAACUGCAACUGACAUUGAUGCUCGAAAGUGUGGGUAUCAAACAGGAUUAGAUACCCUUGUAGUC
rnacentral:rRNA from 1 species